rnacentral:rRNA from 1 species
AAGAAGCGAAGCCGCGAGGUAGAGCAAANCUUAAAAAGAACAUCUCAGUUCAGAUUGCAGGCUGCAACUCGCCUGCAUGAAGUCGGAAUUGCUAGUAAUCGUAGGUCAGCAUACUACGGUGAAUACGUUCCCGGGCCUUGUACACACCGCCCGUCAAACCAUGAGAGUUGGCAACACCCGAAGUCGGUAGUCUAACCGCAAGGAGGACGCCGCCGAAGGUGGGGUUGAUGAUUAGGGUUAAGUCGUAACAAGGUAUC